CAUAGAGGAACAGACAGUUUUAGCCUUAGGGGAUUAGAAGUGCUAACAUCAGAAUGACUUAAAGCUUGUCAUCAGUAUCUCUGCUCUGGGUAACAGUGGAACUGGCUCAGAGCUGGCCACUUUGAGUGACUGCUGGACUUUAAAGCCAAAGGGGACUUGAGAACUGGUUACAGUCUCUCUGGGUCGCCAGAGCAAAUGGCCUACUUGAAGCACAUGAGUCACUGGGAGGCACAGUUGCUCAACAGCCAGUUACUGAUGCAAUGACACAUAUGGACCUCAAAGCCAAAGACUAUCUUCUUUCUCGUCAUUUCUACAGCUUUGGAAGUAGCAUUUCCCCCAGGCAUAGCCACCCUAAUAAAAUUAUACACAGAAGCACACAUACGCUGUGGAAGUAUGCAUAUAUACAUGUGCACAUGGACACACGCAGCAUAUGCUGAUCUUU
rnacentral:lncRNA from 1 species